AGGGAUUGAAGUGGAGAUAGUGCUGCCACGCACCUUAUGGGUCAAAAAGAAAUGUAGGAAAGGGCACACCUACCAAUACCU
rnacentral:ncRNA from 12 species